rnacentral:rRNA from 1 species
ACACGUAGGGGCCUGACGUUGUUCGGAAUCAUUGGGCGUAAAGGGCGCGCAGGCGGCCGUCCAAGUCCGGUGUUAAAUGGUCGGGCUCAACCCGAUCAUGCGCUGGAAACUGGGCGGCUGGAGUCCCGGAGGGGAUGCCGGAACUCCAGGUGUAGGGGUGAAAUCUGUAGAUAUCUGGAAGAACACCGAUGGCGAAGGCAGGCAUCUGGCCGGAGACUGACGCUGAGGCGCGAAGGCGCGGGGAGCGAACAGGUUUAGAUACCCUGGUAGUCCGCGCAGUAAACGAUGCGCACCAGGUGUCGGGCGGCAGCGCCCGGUACCGGAGCAAACGCGAUGAGUGCGCCGCCUGGGGAGUAUGCCCGCAAGGGUGAAACUCAAAGGAAUUGACGGGG